GUUCAUGGUCAGACACUCAGACUGACGACGACAGCGACAGCGGCCUGUGCUGUGCUCCGGGCUCCGUGCUGCGCUCCCUGACUCCGAGCACUGAGACUUCCACUGUCACCGCGACUAGUCUUGUUGCUUCACGUUUGACACCCAGCAACAAAAGAUUGUGGAGACGAGGAGCGCCUCCUAGUCGCAGACCGCGCCGCCACCGGCGCCCAGCUCCACGUGCGAACAGCGACGUGCUGCGGACAGGAAUCCCCAGCAGCCGACUUCUGCAGGUACCGCCAUGGAGUCGUGGCUGACGGACGUGAAGCGGGUGCGCAUCCCGAGGCCCAAGUUCGCGAGCGCGCGCUACCCGCGGGAGCCGCCCAAGGACUACUGCGGGGGCGGCGCCGCUUCGGCCGGAGACGCCGGGCGUCCCGACGCCGACCAGCAGCGCAGGGACGCCGCCAGGGACCUGGCGCGCGCCACCGAGGAGCUGCGCAUAGCCGUCCGGGACAAGCUCUAAAAGGCGCUCCGGUGGGCCAGCCCAAACCUCCGGCCCUGGAAGUCUCGCAGGGCCCAGGUUUCCGUGUCGAGGACACUUUUUUUCUCUCAGUGACUGACUGAUGCAAUGCCUUGAGACCAGCGGCGCCUGCUUUCAAGCUAGGCCACAUAUUACCUCAGGGAAGCUGCGUCCGCGACUUCAGUGCUGUUGCUAACAUUUUUGUUUCCUAACUAACAAACCAGUGACAAAAAAAUAGUUGAGAAAAGAGUGUCUCACUGGCCUGCAGAGUCCCCUUCUAUUUUGUGCAAUGUGGACCCGAUUUCAGUGUUAGAAGCAGUCAUUACAUUCAUCAAGCGACCGUUAAUGCGUCACCAGUUGGAAGUGAAUGUGUAGCGCUACGAUGAAGACUGGCGGCACUCACAUGCUGCAGAUUUUAAUUUACGGACUUUACGACAUUCCAUCUGUGCUUCCAGAGUCACUUUUUUCGGUUUGUUUUCUUUAGUCAUCCCCUUUCGUAAUUGUCCUGUAGAUGGCUACAGCGCACUUCCUAGAACUAACUAACGUGGAUUUAAACAAGCAAAUUCAAGAAAAGAGACAAAGCAUCGCUCUCGGCAACAGUUGUUAUAAGAGAUUUCAACGACUCAUAGAAGCUUGAAUUACAGCUCCCACUGUUUCACAGCCGUUAGUGACGUAAUUUCUCAAGUUCUACACACUACGCAAACACUGAAAGCCCGUUUCUCUGCGAAACAUUACCUGACCACGAAUAUAAAUCAUGUCCAUCACGAUCGCCAGACCUCAGCCCAUUUGUUUCCUUUCUGCGACUGUUCGUUAAAAUUUCUUAUCUGCAGUACCUGUAAUCUACUUCGCCAAAUUGAAGUAGUCGUUAUAGACCUAUUUCAGGGUAAAAUGUUUGAGUUUUUAGAGGUUACGAAGAUAUGGCAUAAUUUUAAUCAAUUUAAUCCUACUUCUACAUUUAUUUUGUAAAUAUUUCUCAAUUACUCUGAUAUCUAGCAGUGUAAUAAGUCGCAUGAAUGUUUUACGUUGUCACUUUAUUUCCUACUGAGUAUAUGUUAACACAGUACCGAACCAAAAGCGCGAACGUAUUUGUUGAGAACAAUUUUCAUAGUUUUAUACUGUCGUUACAAGUUCACAUACAUUUUUAAACAAAUGAAAACAUAUAAUCAGUUGUUAACAAUUUUGUACACACUAAUGUAAAUAAAACAAAAAUAGACAAUUC